rnacentral:tRNA from 1 species
GGCCUGUUAGCUCAGUUGGUUAGAGUGCCGUGCCAAUAACGCGGAGGUCAUGAGUUCGAUCCUCUUACGGGCCA